rnacentral:rRNA from 1 species
UGGGGAAUAUUGGGCAAUGGGCGCAAGCCUGACCCAGCAACGCCGCGUGAGGGAGGAAGGCCCUAUGGGUCGUAAACCUCUUUUGUCAGGGAACAAAAGCGAGUAUGUAUACUAGUCUGAGUGUACCUGAAGAAAAAGCAUCGGCUAACUCCGUGCCAGCAGCCGCGGUAAUACGGAGGAUGCGAGCGUUAUCCGGAUUUAUUGGGUUUAAAGGGUGCGUAGGCGGCGAUGCAAGUCAGCGGUAAAAGCCCGGGGCUCAACCCCGGCGAGCCGUUGAAACUGCAGUGCUAGAGAAGGCGAGAGGUACGCGGAAUGCGCAGUGUAGCGGUGAAAUGCUUAGAUAUUGCGCAGAACUCCGAUUGCGAAGGCAGCGUACUGGCGCCUGACUGACGCUGAGGCACGAAAGCGUGGGGAUCGAACAGGAUUAGAUACCC